rnacentral:lncRNA from 1 species
CAGCAUGUGACCAAUGGAUGGAUUAUUUGUUUUUGAAAUUGGUAAUUCUGAAUGGGAUUUUGCUACACGUGGUUUAUAUGUCUUGACAAGAAAAUAAAACUGUUGGUUUGUGCAUAUGUUUGGAGAAUUUGAAGAAAAGAUAGCAUUUGCUAGGUCUGUGCUGGAGACAUGUUUUCCUUCUAUAUUCUGGAAACUUGUAUGAAUGGUGAUAUAUGCAUAUAUUUAACGGAGAAGAAUAACCGAUUGAUGCCCUGAUACAUAGUGAUCCCGAUGAAAAGAUUGAUGGUCAUGGACAGUUGCUAAUCCAUGAACCUUAGGUUUCUCUGUAAGAAAAACCAAUAGGAACCUUGUCAUUUAACUUGUAUGAGUACAACAACUGCAGUUUUCCAGCGGAUGGAUCACCUGGCAGUGUUAAAUUUUCGGGUACAUGUACAACUGUUAGUUUUGGUGUAAAUUUUGCCUUUUGAGAUCAUGUUAAUGUACAGAAGUUCUUUUAAACAGAUUUGAAAAUUUAAUUACAAAGUGAGUGUAUUUUCGUCUAUUAUAUCUUUCAGAGUUUACACUAUGGUUUUUGGUUUGUGUAACAUGGUCACAAAAAAAUUAAAGGUUGUGGCUUGAGACACUUUACAAGUGACUUCAAAUUUUCCAUCUCCGAAAGAUUACUAAUUUGUUGAGUCAUGUAUGUAAACUAUUACGUUAAGACAGGAAGAGGAU